GUAGGGUGCAGGCGUUAAUCGGAAUUACUGGGCGUAAAGCGUGCGCAGGCGGCUUCCUAAGUCAGAUGUGAAAUCCCCGGGCUUAACCUGGGAACUGCGUUUGAAACUGGGAGGCUAGAGUGCGGCAGAGGGGGGUGGAAUUCCACGUGUAGCAGUGAAAUGCGUAGAUAUGUGGAGGAACACCGAUGGCGAAGGCAGCCCCCUGGGCCUGCACUGACGCUCAUGCACGAAAGCGUGGGGAGCAAACAGGAUUAGAUACCCUGGUAGUCCACGCCCUAAACGAUGUCGACUAGUUGUUGGGGGAGUCUGUCCCUCAGUAACGUAGCUAACGCGUGAAGUCGACCGCCUGGGGAGUACGGUCGCAAGAUUAAA
rnacentral:rRNA from 1 species